AUAUUGCGCAAUGGGGGAAACCCUGACGCAGCAACGCCGCGUGAGUGAGGAAGGUCUUCGGAUUGUAAAACUCUGUUCUUAGGGAAAAAUGAUCUAGUGGUUAAUACCCAUUAGGAGUGAUGGUACCUAAGUAGAAAGCACCGGCUAACUUCGUGCCAGCAGCCGCGGUAAUACGAAGGGUGCAAGCGUUGUUCGGAAUCAUUGGGCGUAAAGCGAGCGCAGGCGGAUCAGCAAGUCAGGUGUGAAAUCUCGAGGCUCAACCUCGAAACUGCGCCUGAAACUGCUAGUCUAGAAUGUCGGAGGGGAUAGGGGAAUUUCACGUGUAGGGGUAAAAUCCGUAGAGAUGUGAAGGAACACCGGAGGCGAAGGCGCCUAUCUGGACGACUAUUGACGCUGAGGCUCGAAAGCGUGGGGAGCAAA
rnacentral:rRNA from 1 species